rnacentral:lncRNA from 1 species
AAAUUUAAAACUUAUAGUUUAGUUUACAAUUCAAUCCUUUAUUCAAUUCCAAUCAAAAUUUUUAUCAAAUAAACCCUCAAUUCCAUCAUUAUUCAACAUAAACCCUACUAAAAAAAAUCUAUUAACUUCCAAAACCUCAACUUAUUUUCAACAAAACUAACUUCUAAAACAUCUAAAUUAAAAGAAAAGGACUUGAUUGACUUACCAAGUUAAAUUCCAAGCUUUAAAAACCCUAUUUUCCCUUUUUCUUUCUUUUUC